AUUGAACGCUGGCGGCAGGCCUAACACAUGCAAGUCGAGCGGAUGAAGGGAGCUUGCUCCUGGAUUCAGCGGCGGACGGGUGAGUAAUGCCUAGGAAUCUGCCUGGUAGUGGGGGAUAACGUCCGGAAACGGGCGCUAAUACCGCAUACGUCCUGAGGGAGAAAGUGGGGGAUCUUGGGACCUACGCUUUUCAGAUGGGCCUAGGUGGGAUUAGCUAGUUGGUGGGGUAAAGGCCUACCAAGGCGACGAUCCGUAACUGGUCUGAGAGGAUGAUCAGUCACACUGGAACUGAGACACGGUCCAGACUCCUACGGGAGGCAGCAGUGGGGAAUAUUGGACAAUGGGCGAAAGCCUGAUCCAGCCAUGCCGCGUGUGUGAAGAAGGUCUUCGGAUUGUAAAGCACUUUAAGUUGGGAGGAAGGGCAGUAAGUUAAUACCUUGCUGUUUUGACGUUACCAACAGAAUAAGCACCGGCUAACUUCGUG
rnacentral:rRNA from 1 species